GACAGAAAAGCCGAUCAGCUGAUCAUUAAUCAGUUUCACGAUUGAAGUAGCUGCAGGAAGUGAGGAGUUCAGUCAUUUGGGAGGGGUUCAGAGUAGAGCCAAUACUCCUCCACAUCCAAAGGAGAUGGCAGGCUUUGGCCUCCUGGGUCAGGUGUUCCAGCUGGGCAUGUCCUACCUGGAUGAGGCCCCGGAGCAGACCCUGGACACGCUGCACAGAUUACAUCUAUCGGCUUGUCUGUCUGGGUUUUCCUGCUGCUGCCCCCGCAACUUGACUUCAGUACAGGUGUGAUGUGAGUGAAGAGUGAGAACCAAAGAGCAUAGAGGAGAAGGAGAAGCUGUGAGCAGAUUCAGGAGGAGCAGAUGGAGCACAGAGAAGAGGAGAAGAGCUCCACCUGCAGGACAAACAAACACAUCCAUCUCAUUUUAUCCUGAGACCUGAUAGAAAAGCAUCAUCAACACUAUCAAUAAUAAUAAUAAUAAUAAUGUCUUUAUUUGUUUUUAUCCCCAAACUGAAACGAGCAGCAGGAUAAAAUCAGAGCUGGA
ensembl:lncRNA